rnacentral:misc_RNA from 1 species
GAAACGCGAUAGUUAAUGUGAAUUGCAGAAUUCAGUGAAUCAUCGAAUCUUUGAACGCACAUUGCGCCCCUUGGUAUUCCAUGGGGCAUGCCUGUUCGAGCGUCAUUUGUACCCUCAAGCUCUGCUUGGUGUUGGGUGUUUGUCCCCGUCUCCGCGCGUGGACUCGCCCCAAAGUGAUUGGCAGCCGGCGUACUGGUCCCGGAGCGCAGCACAUGUUGCGCAAACGAGUGCCUUGGUACGGCGGCGUCCAUAAGCCCCUCUCUCACGCUCUUGACCUCGGAUCAGGUAGGGAUACCCGCUGAACUUAAGC